rnacentral:rRNA from 1 species
UACGUAGGGCGCAAGCGUUGUCCGGAAUUAUUGGGCGUAAAGAGCUCGUAGGCGGCUUGUCACGUCGGGUGUGAAAGCCCGGGGCUUAACCCCGGGUCUGCAUUCGAUACGGGCUAGCUAGAGUGUGGUAGGGGAGAUCGGAAUUCCUGGUGUAGCGGUGAAAUGCGCAGAUAUCAGGAGGAACACCGGUGGCGAAGGCGGAUCUCUGGGCCAUUACUGACGCUGAGGUACGAAAGCUAGGGUAGCGAACGGG